rnacentral:rRNA from 1 species
AAAUUGAAGAGUUUGAUCAUGGCUCAGAUUGAACGCUGGCGGCAGGCCUAACACAUGCAAGUCGAACGGUAACAGGAAGCAGCUUGCUGCUUUGCUGACGAGUGGCGGACGGGUGAGUAAUGUCUGGGAAACUGCCUGAUGGAGGGGGAUAACUACUGGAAACGGUGGCUAAUACCGCAUAACGUCGCAAGACCAAAGAGGGGGACCUUCGGGCCUCUUGCCAUCAGAUGUGCCCAGAUGGGAUUAGCUUGUUGGUGAGGUAACGGCUCACCAAGGCGACGAUCCCUAGCUGGUCUGAGAGGAUGACCAGCCACACUGGAACUGAGACACGGUCCAGACUCCUACGGGAGGCAGCAGUGGGGAAUAUUGCACAAUGGGCGCAAGCCUGAUGCAGCCAUGCCGCGUGUAUGAAGAAGGCCUUCGGGUUGUAAAGUACUUUCAGCGGGGAGGAAGGUGUUGUGGUUAAUAACCGCAGCAAUUGACGUUACCCGCAGAAGAAGCACCGGCUAACUCCGUGCCAGCAGCCGCGGUAAUACGGAGGGUGCAAGCGUUAAUCGGAAUUACUGGGCGUAAAGCGCACGCAGGCGGUCUGUCAAGUCGGAUGUGAAAUCCCCGGGCUCAACCUGGGAACUGCAUUCGAAACUGGCAGGCUUGAGUCUUGUAGAGGGGGGUAGAAUUCCAGGUGUAGCGGUGAAAUGCGUAGAGAUCUGGAGGAAUACCGGUGGCGAAGGCGGCCCCCUGGACAAAGACUGACGCUCAGGUGCGAAAGCGUGGGGAGCAAACAGGAUUAGAUACCCUGGUAGUCCACGCCGUAAACGAUGUCUACUUGGAGGUUGUGCCCUUGAGGCGUGGCUUCCGGAGCUAACGCGUUAAGUAGACCGCCUGGGGAGUACGGCCGCAAGGUUAAAACUCAAAUGAAUUGACGGGGGCCCGCACAAGCGGUGGAGCAUGUGGUUUAAUUCGAUGCAACGCGAAGAACCUUACCUGGUCUUGACAUCCACGGAAGAAUUCAGAGAUGGAUUGGUGCCUUCGGGAACCGUGAGACAGGUGCUGCAUGGCUGUCGUCAGCUCGUGUUGUGAAAUGUUGGGUUAAGUCCCGCAACGAGCGCAACCCUUAUCCUUUGUUGCCAGCGGUCCGGCCGGGAACUCAAAGGAGACUGCCAGUGAUAAACUGGAGGAAGGUGGGGAUGACGUCAAGUCAUCAUGGCCCUUACGACCAGGGCUACACACGUGCUACAAUGGCGCAUACAAAGAGAAGCGACCUCGCGAGAGCAAGCGGACCUCAUAAAGUGCGUCGUAGUCCGGAUUGGAGUCUGCAACUCGACUCCAUGAAGUCGGAAUCGCUAGUAAUCGUGGAUCAGAAUGCCACGGUGAAUACGUUCCCGGGCCUUGUACACACCGCCCGUCACACCAUGGGAGUGGGUUGCAAAAGAAGUAGGUAGCUUAACCUUCGGGAGGGCGCUUACCACUUUGUGAUUCAUGACUGGGGUGAAGUCGUAACAAGGUAACCGUAGGGGAACCUGCGGUUGGAUCACCUCCUUACCUGAAAGAAGC